GUGGGGAAUUUUGGACAAUGGGCGCAAGCCUGAUCCAGCAAUGCCGCGUGCAGGAAGAAGGCCUUCGGGUUGUAAACUGCUUUUGUACGGAACGAAACGGUCCGGGUUAAUACCCUGGGCUAAUGACGGUACCGUAAGAAUAAGCACCGGCUAACUACGUGCCAGCAGCCGCGGUAAUACGUAGGGUGCAAGCGUUAAUCGGAAUUACUGGGCGUAAAGCGUGCGCAGGCGGUUUUGUAAGACAGGCGUGAAAUCCCCGGGCUCAACCUGGGGAUUGCGAUUGUGACUGCAAGGCUGGAGUGCGGCAGAGGGGGAUGGAAUUCCGCGUGUAGCAGUGAAAUGCGUAGAUAUGCGGAGGAACACCGAUGGCGAAGGCAAUCCCCUGGGCCUGCACUGACGCUCAUGCACGAAAGCGUGGGGAGCAAACAGGAUUAGAAACCCCAGUAGUCC
rnacentral:rRNA from 1 species